AUGAACGCUGGCGGCAUGCUUAACCCAUGCAAGUCGCACGGGAAGUGGUGUUUCCAGUGGCGAACGGGUGAGUAACGCGUAAGAACCUGCCCUUGGGAGGGGAACAACAACUGGAAACGGUUGCUAAUACCCCGUAGGCUGAGGAGCAAAAGGAGAAAUCCGCCCAAGGAGGGGCUCGCGUCUGAUUAGCUAGUUGGUGAGGUAAUAGCUUACCAAGGCGAUGAUCAGUAGCUGGUCCGAGAGGAUGAUCAGCCACACUGGGACUGAGACACGGCCCAGACUCCUACGGGAGGCAGCAGUGGGGAAUUUUCCGCAAUGGGCGAAAGCCUGACGGAGCAAUGCCGCGUGGAGGUGGAAGGCCUACGGGUCGUCAACUUCUUUUCUCGGAGAAGAAACAAUGACGGUAUCUGAGGAAUAAGCAUCGGCUAACUCUGUG
rnacentral:rRNA from 1 species